rnacentral:lncRNA from 1 species
CCUGCACCCUGAAUAUAUUCAUAAGUAUCGAACCAUGUCAAACUCAAACACAUAUUCAUAUCGAUUCUCAAUUAACCAAUGAUAACUCUAAUAAAAAAACAUUAGAAACUCUUUCUAAUCUCCUUUCUACUUUUGAUCAAAAUUUUUUUUUGAGUGAUUUAGGAUUGAGAAUACAUAGGAUAUGAUCUCCUCUUACUAGGAGUGAUCGAUUCCAUAUUGACCUACUCACAACCUCCAUCAAUACUCCACCA